GCUGAACUAAGCAUAUCAAU
rnacentral:rRNA from 1 species